GGUACCUAUUCUUGUGAUUGUGCUUCUCAUUGAGCAGUUCCAAAAUUUGCCUCAUCACUGGAAUCAGGAAGAUGCUUUAAAAAGGACAGAGAGAUCUUUUGUCAAACUGAGACCUACUGAAUAGCACCAGGAAAGACCUUGGCACAACUCCAACACAUGACCAUAUAAACACACAACAGAAGAGAACAGAGGCUGUUCAAAGACACAGGAGAAAUGUGGAGCAGAUGCAGACACAGGGAGAACUCUUUGUGAAGAUGAAGGCAGAGAUCAGGGUGAGGUUUCUACACACCAAGGAACUCCAGUGAUCACCAGCAGACCACCAGAAGCUGAGGAAGAG
ensembl:lncRNA